rnacentral:misc_RNA from 1 species
CAACCCUCAGGCCCAGCCUGGCGUUGGGGCUCUGCCGUCCGCGGCAGGCCCUCAAAGACAGCGGCGGGUGCGCCUUGGUACCGAACGCAGUAAUUAUGCCUCGUUCUGGGACCUCAGCGCUCUCCGGCCGUAAAACCCCCUAUUUUCUUAU